rnacentral:lncRNA from 10 species
GUGCCCUGGAGGCAGCUGGGAGCUCCAACCGAGCAUGGUGCACAGGCAGGUGUUUUCCACGACCAAGUUGCUAACUGGAAGCGUAAGCGACAGCGUGAGGGGCGGGACUAGAAGGAAAGCUCCUCAGCACUUCCGGUUCUGGUUCUGAACUUAGCGUGUGUUCCAGAUCUCCAAAGAUAUGCAGGUUCAACUUGCAGGCCCAGGCGGGCGAAUCACCUGAGGUCAGGAGUUCGAGACCAGCCUGACCAACAUGGAGAAACCCAGUCUCUACUAAAAAUACAGAAUUAGCCGGGCAGGGUCGUGCAUGCCUGUAAUCCCAGCUACCCGGGAGGCUGAGGCAGGAGAAUCGCUUGAAUCCGGGAGGCGGAGGUUGCAGUGAGCUGAGAUCGCGCCAUUUCACUCCAGCCUGGGCAACAAGAGCAAAACUCCGUCUCAAAACAAAAACAAAACUGGGUUUGACCCUGAUAUGUCAGGGAGCUAGAACUGAGCUGCAAAUGGCCUCAGGAUAGAACCUUGGAAGACGUGAUUCAAAUGCCCAAGGAUAAGACACUCCUUCCCUCCACCCAAGGAUCCCCUUUGGAACUCUGUAGAAUUCCUUUUAGGUUCCAAACCACAGCAUUCUCAGAGUUCUGACCCCAGGAACUUGGUGUGAACUUAGAGGGGCAUUGCUGGUGCCCUGUGGCUUCCCUCAGGUUAAGUGGCUGCGGUGAGGGCAGCUAUGACCCUGGCAAGUGCUUCCUAACUUUAUAAUGGGUUCCAAAAAAGUCUUGAUGGGUCACGAGUCUUUGAGAAGUGGAAACUACUAUUGUUGCAAACUAAACAUCAAAGAUUGGAUGAGUUUUAAUUUUUUCUUAGUUCAUCAAUGAGACUUUGCUUAUUUUGUUUUCCGUUAUUUAAAAUUAGUAAACUUUACAAUUUAAAUGGAGCUGGGUUUUCACAAAUGCAUACUUGUACCACCAUAAUCAAGAUACAAAACACUCUGUCACCCCUAAAAGCCUCCUUCUGCCCUUUUGGAGACAAACUGUCCUGUGACCCUUAAUGCCUCAUCUGGUUCUAAAUUCCUAUACUCUUGCUCUAUCCAGAAUGUCAUAUAAAUGGAUGCUUUUGAAUACUCUGGUUAAAAACUAACGCUGGCCGGGCACGGUGGCUCACGCCUGUAAUCCCAACAUUUUCGGAGGCCGAGGUGGGUGGAUCACCUGAGGUCAGGAGUUCGAGACCAGCCUGGCCUACAUGGUGAAACCCUGUCUGUACUAAAAAUACAAAAUUAGCUGGGUGUGGUGGCAUGCGCCUGUAACCCCAGCUACUUGGGAGGCUGAGGCAGGAGAAUCACUUGAACCUGGGAGUUGGAGGUUGCAGUGAGCUGAGAUCACGCCAUUGCACCCCAGCCUGGGCAACAAGAGCAAAACUCCAUCUCAAAACAAACAAACAACAACAACAACAAAACACCUAAUGCCAUACUUGGCAAACUGUGUAAUUUUAUUUUUUAUCCAGAAGAAGAUGACUUGUCUUGAAAUAUAAAAAUUCGAACAGUGCCCAAUACAGGUGGUAAGACACAUCAGGCUUUCACUAUGGAGACAUUCCAUUACUAUUUUGGGAUAUGUAAGGUUAACCAUGAGUCUGCUGCUUGUGAUUAACUUGUCAUUUUGAGGCAGGAGAAUAGGGAAUUAGGAUAACCAGUUAAGGCAUAAGCAAAGGAACAGCAGGUGCAGCCACUUCUAGGCAAGAUUAGGCAGAAACAGGCCACAUCCUCACUGCUGUGAUAACAAGAUAGAAGUCUCCACUUCAGACUCUGAUUUGACAGGGCCAAGUCUCCACCUCAGCCUCUGAUUGGCCAUGGCCAAGUCUUCACUUCAGCCUCUGAUUGGUUGCAGGCGAAUCCUUCAUAGGGGGUAACCAAUUGGAGUUCUCUAAAGGGCACCUAGGGGUGUUACAAAAUUCUUGUAGCCUUAUAAAAACCCUAAAGAACAUUGCAAUCAGGGCUCUUGAGCUGCCCGCUAGGGCCGGCUCCCGCUCCGUGGAGUGUACUUUCAUUUAAAUAAAUCUGCGCUGUCAUUGCUUUGUGUGUUUUGUUCAAUUCUUUGUUCAAUGCGUCAAGAACCUGGACAUCUCACAGUCAGCACUUUCCAUCUGGUACCAAUUUGUACAAUGAGAGGAAUGUAGGGAAGGAGUGAUCAAAUAAGCUAACUGUGAUUGUGAAAUGACACGAAGUCUUUGCAGUGCUAUCAAGACUAUUUUUUUUUUGAGGUGGAGUUUCGCUUUUGUUGCCCAGGCUGGAGUGCAGUGACGCCAUCUCGGCUCGCUGCAACCUCCGCCUCCCGGGUUCAAGCAAUUCUCCUGCCUCAACCUCCCAAGUAGCUGGGAUUACAGGCACGCACCACCAUGCCCAGCUAAUUUUUGUAUUUUUAGUAGAGACAGCGUUUCUCCAUGUUGGUCAGGCUGGUCUCGAACUCCCGACCUCCGGUGAUCUGCCCACCUCAGCCUCCCAAAGUGCUGGGAUUACAGGCGUGAGCCACUGCGCCCGGCCCGCUAUCAAGACUAUUAACAUUGAAAAUGGACACAGACUGGAUUUCAUUUGCCUUUAAUUAAACACAAAGCUGUUACAUAUUUUUCUCUUCUAAUAGCUGCUGGAAGUCUAAGCAUAUGGAAACGAUACCUAUGAAAAUCAAAUGGACAUUUUGGGCUUUGUGGAUCAUUAAAGGUUUACACUUAAAAAUUAUUUUUUAAUUAAAAAAAUAAAAAUUAAUUAAAGGAUGACAAAUACAUUGGGAUGUUACUCAAAAUGAUAAUCCUGUCUGCAGCUCACUUCAGUUAUUCCUUGACUAGUUCUCUCACCGUCCAUAGAUUUUAUCCUCACCAGGAAAUCAUGGCACACUUGCCUAGAUAUCACUGUGCACAUGGGAAAACACUCGCAACGGGCUACAACUGUGCAGAUGACCAUAACUCUUCCUCACCCUGUGAGGAACUCUAGUUUUCUGCAGAACACAAUUUUUCCAUCAGUGUGUAGGGGCAGCAAAGUGACAAUGCCAAAUAUAUAAGGCAAUUUAAAAUUAUUUCACAAAGGUAUUAAAAACAAACACCCACAUUGUGGUUCAAAUCCAGAUGAAGUACCUGGUCCCAGAUGCCAAUGUCCAAACUCAUAAAAACAUAUGACAUGGGCCUGGUGCGGUGGCUCACGGAAAUAAUUAUUGUUUCUUUUUUUCUUUUUAAUUUGACACACGGUCUCAUUCUGUCACCCUGGCUGGAGUACAGUGGCAAGAUAACUCAUUGCAGCCUGGACCUCUUGGUCUCAAGCCAUCCUCCACCCUCAGCCUCCUGAGUAGCUGGCUCUACAAGUGCACAUCACCAUGCCUAGAUACUUUUAAAAAUUUCUUUUUAUAGAGACUGUGUCUCACUAUGUGCCCAGACUGGCCUUGAACUCCUGUGCUCAAGUGAUCCUCCUGCCUCAGCCUCCCGAAGCUUUGGAAUUACAAGUGUGAGCCACUGCCCCUGGUCCUGCCGUUAUUUCUGUAUUACUGCUCACUAUUUCCUAACUCAUGAGCAGUUCUUGAAAUAGUAUUAAAAAAAAAGAAAUAGUAUUUAAGACAUAUUACAUGGUGGAACUAUAAAUGAAUUCAUGAUGAGAUUGUCACUUACUGAAGCCCGAUCCUUUAUUCUGCAUUCCCUAUUAUCUACCUUGUCAAGUUUGAUACUAUACUUUAUUCUGCCUUGAUAUUAUCCAAAAAAAAAAUUUUUUUUUUUUUGAGAUGGAGUCUUACUCUUGUCGCCCAGGCUGGAGUGCAGUGGCGCAAUCUUGGCUCACUGCAACCUCUGCCUCCCGGGUUCAAGCGAUUCUCCUGCCUCAGCCUCCCAAGUAGCUGGGAUUACAGGCGCCUGCCACCACGCCUGGCCAAUUUUUUGUAUUUUUAGUAGAGACAAGGUUUCACCAUGUUCACCAUGUUGGCCAGCGUGGUCUCGAACUCCUCACAUCAGGUGAUCCACCCGCCUCGGUGGGUCCUGGGAUUACAGGCGUGAGCCAUUGCUACUGGGCUCCAAUAAAGUUUAAACUUGUUUUAUUAGUUAUCUUUUUAUGUCUUUUGCUAGACUUAUUUAAUACUUAAAUUUAUAAAACCGUUACGUAAGUUUUUGUCAUUAUGAAUAAACAAGAAUUUAUUAGGCUGGGCGCGGUGGCUCACAAGUAUCAUUUUUAAAGUCACCAUGUUGAUUUGGCAAUUUUCAAUAUUUUAAUACAUUCUCCCAGUAAAUAAAAAACAGAGAUUGACAUUUGUUAGUAUACAACUUAUUUGAAAAACUCAGUUAAAUAGGCUAUUUCUAAGAAACAUUUUAUCCAUUUGUAUAGAAUCCAACUUCUUUAAAAACACAAACACAGUAAAUAGAUAUUUCUCAGAAACAGAAACUUUUGUUUUAAUAAUACAUAAUCAAACAUAAUAACUGAACACAUACUGAGAGAUUGUAUUCAGCUCUAUGUGACAGGAAAUUUCCAGAGUUUACCUGAUAAGCCAGUAUUGUCUUUCAUUUUCUCAUGAAAGGUAAGAUUUAUCUCACGAAGAAUACUAGGUCACAGUAGAUGCAGUAGGGAAACAAUCCCCUGUGCUUUUUUAAAAAAUUAUUCUUUAUUUAUUUAUUUUUGAGACAGAGUCUCGCUCUUUCGCCCAGGCUGGAGUACAGUGGCACGAUUCCAGCUCACUGCAAGCUUCGCCUCCCAGGUUCACGCCAUCCUCCUGCCUCAGCCUCCCGAGUAGCUGGGACUACAGGCGCCCGCCACCACACCUGGCUAAUUUUUUGUAUUUUUAGUAGAGACGGGGUUUCACCAUGAUAGCCAGGAUGGUCUCGAUUUCCUGACCUCGUGAUCCGCCCACCUCAGCCUCCCAAAGUGCUGGGAUUACAGGCGUGAGUCACCGCGCCCAGCCGCAAUCCCCUGUGUUUUUAUGGUUGUACCAUUGUAUCUGUCAUGGAAGCAGGAACACAGAAGCACAAGAAAUACUGAGACAAUGAGGUAUUAAGAUAAUGAUAAUAUGGCCAGGCAUAGUGGCUCACACCUGUAAUCCCAGCACUUUGGGAGGCCAAGGCGGGCAGAUUUCAGGAGUUUGAGACCACCCUGGCCAACAUGGUGAAACCCCGUCUCUACUAAAAAUACAAAAAUUAGCUGGACAUGGUGGUGCAUGCCUAUAGUCCCAGCUACUUGGGAGGCUGAGGCAGGAGAAUCGCUUGAAACCGGGAGGCGGAAGUUGCAGUGAGCCGAGAUCGUGCCGUUGCACUCCAGCUUGGGCAACAUAACAGGACUCUGUCUCAAAAAAGAAAAAGAAAAAAAACCCAAAAAAACCUAUUUUCCAAUUCCAACCCAGAAGCCAGGUCAAAGAGCAAACAGCAACAGAUGAAAAAAAUAGUUCCCACGAGACUACACUCCUCCAAGAAUUUGCAUGCAUACGUAUUUCUACCAACUACCUAUUAGUCCACAAGCAAAAUGAAGAAGGAUUCUCUGACCAAUAGCAUAAAGCCACUGAAUUACUUGCCUGUAUAAGUAGAAAGUAUUAACAUUAAAAAUAGUUUUUCCCUGUAAAAUGGAAAGGUGGAAUAAAAGUAACAUGGUAGUAAUAUCCAGCUUGGAACACACAGGGCCAGUCAGAAAAUGUCAACAAACACCCAUAUUUCAUUGGUCUAAUGGCCUCACACGGAGUAACAAAAAAAAUAUAUAAAAAUUAAAGUUAAUGCAUAUUAAAAUACAUCAGAUCACCCAUGGGUGCAAUACACUUCUAAAUGAAAAGAGAAACAUUAGUAAUUUAUAAGAAAAAACCAUUAUGUAUCAAAAUUUCAGUACUAUAGGUGAGAGAGGACUUACAGGAUUCUCCCCUCAACUUUACCUGCAAGAGAACUGCAAAUUCAUUUGCUAGAGGCCCACUUUUAGGAUGUGGUCCUGAUAAAGGCAAUACCAUAUUUAUAAACGUCAUGAGAUUCUUCUCCUGCCAUGAAUUUUCUUUUUUUGGAGAUGGAGUCUCGCUCUGUCACCCAGGCUGGAGUGCAGUGGUGCCAUCUCGGCUC